AUAAAUAAAUAAAUAAUCCGGCCUGUUCUGGAUUUCGAAAAUGCAAAACAGAAGAAUUUCUAUGUCUUAUUCCUUGAGAAGGACAAAGAAAAUACAGGCAAAACUAUUUUUUGCGUUUUGGGAAUUCGAAACCCGGAGCAGGCCUGAGUAUCUCUUCUGGUCUAGGGGAUUUUCAACUUUUAAUUGUUUUUUAUCUUUGGCCUUGUAUUUUACGAUUUACGAAGGCAUUUAUGGCUUAAUCUUGAAGCAUGAAGAUUGCUGACAAAAUUUACAACGACUUUGCCGCUAUGAAUGUCCAAAUCCGAAUAUCUAGUUAAAAUUUGUACAGUUUGGAAGUCAAAAUGUGUUCCAAAUAAAACUUUAACAACAUUGUAUGUCAAAAUCUGGGUAUUAUCAGGCCUGUUCCGACCUAUUCGAAUUCUCAAAGCGCAAAAAAUGUUUUAUUUGUCCUUCUCUUUUAAGAUUUGAAAGCACUUGAGGUUCCUCUUACUAUAUAGAGGUUUGAUAAGAGUAUCCAUUCAAACAUCGACGUUAUAAGGUUUGCAAGAAAUAAGGCAAAGAAAUUCUUUCGUUUUCUUUUUCGAAAUCCAGAAUAGGCCUGUGUAUGUAUGUACUACCAAAGCGGUAAUUUAUCAAAAAAUUGUGAAUAUAGAUAAAUGAAUGAAUAUACAUAAGAACAUGCCCAAGCAGAAUUCUGCUCUCAAUGGCAUGCAA